GACACUAUAGCUCAGUGGCUUAGAGCAUACGAUUGCAACAGUCUAGUUUAUCGUGAGGUCCCGUGUUCGAACCACGGUAGUGUCU